rnacentral:rRNA from 14 species
CUUGGGGACAAUAGCGGUUUGGAACCACCCCUUCCCAUCUCGAACAGGGCCGUGAAACGAACUUGCGCCAAUGAUAGUGUACUCUUCGUAUGCGAAAGUAGGUCAUCCCCAAGC